UCUAAGGAAACGAGCAGGUGCUCCUAGGCGGCUCAUCUCCGCGCAGCGCCGAGGAGCCAGGCAGGCGCGGAGCCCCGGCCGCGCUGACCUUCCUGCCCCCGGGCGCGGGCGUGGGGAAAAGGACGCGACGCCGUGGCCAGGCCGGAGGCGGGGGGAAGCCCCAUGGCUCCCGUUUCGGUGGGACGGCGAGAGGGAGCGGGGGAUUGGGAGCGACGAGCGAAGGAGGAGCAGAGCGGCGCAGACAGACACGGGGCGCACGGCAGGGGGCUUACUCCCGACACCUUUCAGACUGCUGAGCCCCCGGAGAGAUAGGCCAGAGUCUUGCUCUACUUGCUUUGUGAAUUCCCAACCAAAUCUGUUUUCAAGAUGAGGAAGCCUGGCCUGUGCUGACCUCGCCAGCUGCUCCUUAGGCAGCCAAAGUCAAAGGCCUGUGUGGUGUUGGGUGGGACUCUGCUCAUCACUCAUGAGGGGAUAAAAAAU